CUCAUUUUCUCUUGCCGCCACUGUGUAAGAAGUGCCUUUUGUCUCCCUCGCGUGAUUCUGAGGCCUCCCCAGCCAUGUGGAACUCCUCUUCUGCCCUGCCCGGCCACUCCUUUGAGUGACAGGGGGUAAUUGAGAAGCUGCUCCUCCCUCCAGGAAGGAAGACCCGGAGCUCUGGCUUCCCUCGGCAAAGCACAUAUAAACCCACAGCCACUGCGGGUGGAAGGAGAAGGGCAGGGUGGAAAAAGUUUGAGAGAAGGAGGGAGGAAAAGGUGUCCUGGCUAGCACCAUGUGGAUUCUCUUGAGAUGAGAAGAAAAUGCCCCGCUACGUCCCCCUUCUGCUGCUCCUGCUUCUCCUGAGGUGUUCACAACGGGGUGGAGGAGUUAAUUUUGGUGAGAAGGAUGUAAAAGUCCCCAGGACCUGGAGAGAUGGAGUCAGGGUCCCUGAAGAAGGAGCCUCUUGGGACUCAGACAGGCCCAGUCCUGAGCGAAGGUACGGAAUAGUAGGACUAAGCCAAAGCAUUUCCACUAAGCACCCAGAGACCAGCCCUAAAGACUCAAGAAUAAGAGAAAAUGAUGUAACUGCAGAUGGAAGGACCACUGAGGACCACAUCACUGCAGACCCAGGGACCACCGAGGACUCUGUCACUGCAGACCCAGGGACCACUGAGGACAAUGUGACUGUGGACCCAGGGACCACCGAGGGCUCUGUCACUGCAGACCCAGCGACCACCAAGGACUAUGUGUCUGCAGACCCAGGGACCACCAAGGAUUCUGUCACUGCAGACCCAGGGACCACUGAGAACUUUGUCACUGCAGACCCAGGGACCACCAAGGACUCCAUCACUGCAGACCCAAGGACCACAGAGGACUCCGUCACUGCAGACCCAAGGACCACCAAACACUCCAUCACUGUAGACCCAGGGACCACUGAGGACUCUGUCACUGCAGACCCAGGGACCACCAAACACUCCAUCACUGCAGACCCAGGGACCACCGAGGACUCCGUCACUGCAGACCCAGGGACCACAGAAGAUGAAACCACUAAACAUGGUGACACUCACCUUCUGUGAACUACUUCAGUCACAGCAGUGAAACCCACCAGGCUCCUGACACCCAUGGGAAUUAUCCUCAUAUCCCUGGCUGCAACCACAGUCACUGUUGUGCUCUUUGUUGGACUGGGCUUCAUUGUGAAAGAGUGUUUCCUGCCUCCAUUAAAUCCAUCCACCAGGGUUAUUUAUCAUCCCCAUGUCAUGGACUACAGUACACCAUAAAGAGGACCCCAGCAGUGACUACAGUUGGUUCUAGAAAAAGGAGACCCCUCAUCCGCCUCUGCAAGACUAUGAAGCAUGAUGUGUAUCCUCAGGCCUCCACUCCUCCGCCCUAGUCUGGAGCCCUGGGACCACCACAUGAGGAAGGCAGCUGGCCCCUGGAAUAAGCAUGUGGAGGACACUCAGAAGGAUGCCCAUCUGCUCUGAGUGUCUCCUAAUUCUGCCUGACCUUGGUUACUUCCUCUGGGCAAUCGCCUUUACCUAUCUACCAGGUUUUGAGGAAUUACACACAGCUCAGGUAUAAGAGAUAUUCGGUAAGUCUGAUCAAAUCAAUAAAGCAAAUUUUAUCUGUUUUUGUCUGGGA
ensembl:lncRNA HCG22 HLA complex group 22 (gene/pseudogene)